rnacentral:rRNA from 1 species
AUUGAACGCUGGCGGCAUGCUUUACACAUGCAAGUCGAACGGCAGCGCGGGCUUCGGCCUGGCGGCGAGUGGCGAACGGGUGAGUAAUACAUCGGAACGUGCCCAGUAGUGGGGGAUAGCUCGGCGAAAGCCGGAUUAAUACCGCAUACGACCUGAGGGUGAAAGCGGGGGAUCUUCGGACCUCGCGCUAUUGGAGCGGCCGAUGGCAGAUUAGCUAGUUGGUGGGGUAAAGGCCUACCAAGGCGACGAUCUGUAGCUGGUCUGAGAGGACGACCAGCCACACUGGGACUGAGACACGGCCCAGACUCCUACGGGAGGCAGCAGUGGGGAAUUUUGGACAAUGGGCGAAAGCCUGAUCCAGCAAUGCCGCGUGUGUGAUGAAGGCCUUCGGGUUGUAAAGCACUUUUGGCGGGAACGAAAAGGACUGUGCCAAUGCCACGGUUCGAUGACGGUACCCGCAGAAUAAGCACCGGCUAACUACGUG